UCAAAAAAAAAGAAUGGUUUGAAUUCUUUCAAUUAGUUACUUCAAUUUAUUGCGUUAUUUUAACUUCAGUUUGUGAUUCAUCUGAAGUAUAUAUAUAGUUGAUGGCAAGAGUCCCCAAAUCAGUUCAAGUGCUCUAGCCGAGAACAGUCUUUACAAUGCUCUCUCAAGUUUUGAAUGCUUUGGCUUUUGCCGCUCUUUUAGGAUUGGCUUUGGGUAAGAAAACGUUUUCUAUUAUUUAUUUUAAACAAUAAAAAAUAAACUUACCUUUACUUCAUAUUGUCUGAAUAAAUGAAAUUGAUAUAUAUUUUGAUUGAUUUUGAUUGAUAUAUAUUUUGAUUGAUUUUGAUUGAUAUAUAUUUUGAUUGAUUUUGAUUGAUAUAUAUUUUGAUUGAUUUUGAUUGAUAUAUAUUUUUGAUAUUAUAUUGAUAUUGAUAUAUAUUUUUGAUAUUAUAUUGAUAUUGAUAUUAUAUUUUGAUUGAUUUGAUUUGAUUUUGAAGACAUUAAUAUUUUUGGCCAAACAAAGGGCUCUAAAAUGAUUAGUUAGGAAAAUAUAUGGGUUCACCCCAGUAAGAUUGAAAAGAUACAUUCGGAUGUUUCUGCUGUGACAGCUCCGCAUUCCCUCUAUAGAGAUGGUUCGAAAAUGAAUGAACAAGUUGGUCCGGCCUUUUGUGUUUUUGAGGGCGAAGAUAAAAUUGAGGAGUUUCAGUAUAGGCUUGAAAAUCACUGUCCAAUUUUUCAAGCGGAACUUUUUGCAAUAUGGCAAGCUUUAAACUGGAAAAAUCAUAAUAAACCGUAUUUGCAUUAACAUCUAUUCACGGACAGCCUUAGUGUAUUAAAGGCUCUUCAAGCAUUCAACCCCAAAAAUAAUUCAGUAGGAGAUGUUAAAAGUCUGGUAGAUGGUAAUAUUUCAUUACACUGGGUUAAAGUCCACAUUGGCAUCAAAUGUAAUGAACUAGUCGAUCUGGCUGCCAAAGCUGCUUCACUUAAACCUGCAACUGACUAUCACCUUGGAGAAUCUGAAAGAACAAUCAAAACUCGUCUGCGUAAAAUUCUCAUCGAUGAAUGGCAAUAAAGAUUGGAAAAUAAUGAAAAAGGCCGCUUUACUUUCAGUAUCUUUUCUCAGGCAAAAAGAAAUAGAUGUAUUGGCAAUAAAUACUUAGAAGAAUUAACUACAAACCAUGGACUUUGCCCGCAUUAUCUUAAAAGAUUGAGAAAUUGUAGUUGUAGAUGUGGUAAUGAUUAUGAUGUCAUUCACACUAUAUUUUCCAUUGCCCUAUUCUUCAUCAUUUCAGAAAACUUAUUAAACCUCAACAAAAUAUUUCCCAAAUUCUAUUAAACAAUAAAUUGACUUUAGAAGUUCAAAAUAUUUUGGACUUCCGCUAUCAUAAUGAAAAUAGAAUAUUCCACAUUGAACAAUAAUUUAUCCUGAUUUGUCAAGCACUGUUAGAAGUGGACAGUAUCUAGUGAGUACAAGAAAAAAAAAGUGCAAAAAGAACUUUAUCAGCCUUUUGUUCCUGAUUCAUGGACUCUACCUUAGACUGAGCCAUUCUAUGUAUUUUUUUAUGUUAAUUUUUUCAUUUGUUUAUGUAUAUUUUUUACUUUGUUUUUUUUAUUUAUAUUUUUCUCUUUGCUUUUUUUAUUUUCCAUUUUUUUCUGUUUUCUAAAUUUAAAUUGCCUAUCUUCAGGAAAUGUUAUUAUUUAAAAAUUAUGUUUAAAUGAUGCUGUUGGAACAUUAUGUAGACUUUUCUUCUUUGGCUAUUUAGACUUCUCCACUUUUUCUUUUUAUGCCUGCUCUUUUUUUCUUUUUUUUUUUUACUGUUUUUAGCUUCUAGUACACAAGAUCAUAAAGAAAAAAUUGAAUAGCUAGUCCUUUAAUAGCUAUUUAAAUUCUAUUAUUUAAAAUAAAUCCUUUUCUGUCACAAAGAUAAUUUAUUAAUUUAUGAAAAAUAGAUUAUAAAAUUAAUUUAUAUAUUUAGUAAAAUGCGUAACAUCUUUAUAAGAAAAGUAUAUCUCUUAAACAUAAUUCUUUGAAUGUGCAUUAAAUUAACCACUAAUACAUAAUAAUUUAAAUCAAUCAAUUUGUGCAACAUUAUAAUCUCAAUACAAUUAUUAGAAUUGACUCCAUUCUCAUACACAAAAAUAUGUUAUCUUUAUUAUAAUUAUGUUAAUGUUAUUUUACAAGAAAUAAUUUCUAAUCGCAUUAAUUCUUUUUUAUUACAGCUGAACGUAAGACAUCUUGCAUAAUUAUAUUUUAUAAUUCUACUUCCAAUUCAAAUUAAUUUAAUAUAAUAUAUCUUAAAAUUUAAAUAUUCUCUUCUAAUAUUUACUGCAUUUGUUAUUAACAUGUAAAACCAAUUCAAAAAAAUUAGUAGACUUGAAUACGCAAUAAGGCUGAGCUAAGAAAUUUUAUAUGCUUACGAAACUAUCAAUCAAAUUAAUUUAAAUUAUAUGAUUAAUAUUAUACUUAGCUUCUAAUAAAAUACAGCAAUUUGAAUUAAUAUAUUCUUCUAUUUCAUAAUUAAAACACAUUAGCAAUUAUUAAAAAAAUAUUUUUUAUUUGAAUAUUUUUAUACAUUGUAUAUUUAAUGUUAUUUCUCAUAUACAAGGAUACAGACAUCAUAUUAAUGUAUUAUAUGAAUUAGCAGAUUUCAAUUAUAAUGUUAUUAUUUUUUUAUUACAGCUGAACGUAAGGAAAUUUCAUAAUUUCAUAUUCUUAUAGAAUUAAAGCAUUUUUUUCAUUAAAUAUGAAAUAUUUGAUUUUAUAUAUGAUCCGCUCUCUAAGGUAGAAUUAGUAAUAUAUAUAUAUUCUUUUGCCAAUUAAAAAAAAUCGUAAUAAAUAUAAGUAAAACAUAAAAUGCAUUAAAUGCAGAAUUGCAAUUUUUUUUAAUAAUGAUGGAUUUAAUAUAUCACAUUUUUAAUAAACGAGAUUAUUAUUAAAAUAUAUUUUAUAUUUUAGCUUUUGUGAAUAUUUAUAGAAUUACUUGAUUUUUAAAAAUAACAGAAUAUAAAAUUCUACAAGUAAUUGAGUAAUUUUAAGAGAAUUGGUUUAAUAUAUUCAUUUUUAAUGUUUACUAAGAAGUUUCCUUUAAAUGUAAUGUUUCAAUCAGAUUUCUUUAAAAUUAUUAAUAAAAGUGAAAAAUAUUAUUUAAUAUUUACCAUUCCUGAAUUGUUAUUUAUCUGUAGAAUAGCGCGAUUAAUAAAAAUAAUUGGAAUAAUGAAUCCUACAUAUAUAAUUUAAAAGAUUGAGUUCAACAAUGUUUUAUAAAUUCUUCCUUAAAAAUUUUUCUUUUAAAUGCAGGUUUAUUUUCUACGUACAGUUUAAAUGUAGAAUUGUGUUAAACAUUAAUAAACACAAACUAUAUUUCAAUUAAAAUAUUAUUACAUCAUUUAAUUGUUAAAUAAAUCUCAUUUUUAUUAAAAAACGUUAUUUUUCUUAAUUUUCAGCUGGUCAUAAUGGCAAUGCAUUUGAUGAUGCUGCCAGUGUUUUGGACAACUUCUUCGGAUAAGUUUAAUGGCUAUCCCUGAGAGAGAGUUUAAAAGACUGCAAAUCUGAAUAUGAUUGUUCGAAUAAUAUAUUAAAAUAAUACUUAUCUAUCUAUUUUAAGUAACUUACUGUAAUUUGCUAAAUUUAAUUCCUGUAAUGUUAGAUGAUUCUUCAGUUCAAAACUAUUAGCGAAUAAAAAAUAUUUUAAAAAAAUGUUUGCAAUUCCUUUCAUAUCUUAGAUACACAUUUUAAUUUUUAAUGGGUAAAUAAUAAAAAUAAAUAAUGACUGACUGUUACCGUCAUGUAUAGAAAAUGCUUUUACACAAUAUUUAUAUUUAAUUAUUUGUUUGUUGCGUUACCCCGCCGUUUUUGUUUUAGAUAUUUACUAAAAUACUGACAAGGCUCAUGUAUUUCUUUCAUUCGGCACAGUUACCAUAUAAUAAAGUUAUCAAUAUCCCAAAAUUAAUUUGUGUCAGAAGACUGUUUCACCUAAAAUUGAAUAAGUAGAAGAGGGCUACCUAUCUCUCUAUCCAAAAGUCGUUGCAUCAGAUUUUAAGGCACGCUUAUAUUUUUAAAUAGAAAAUGUUAUUCAUUCAUUUCAUCUAAAACUUAUUUUGCUGUUUUGGAAUAGUAACUCGGAACAAAUAAAAAAUUAAGUAAUCAUUCAAAAAUUAUUACUAAGAAAAUUUCAAACGGCAUAGGUAAAUAUUAAUUUUUAAUAAUUUCAGGUUUAUUUGUCAUGCAAUAUUUUAAUCAAUAAUUAUGUUCAAAGUGUGUUUUUAAGAAUAUUGAAGAAACAAAAGUAUCAUAAACCAAGAAAACUUUCUUUUGCAAGAAACUUUACAUUAUUACCUUAUUCGGGAUAAUUAUCCACUAUUGCGGGGGAAAAAAGAAGCCAGUCAGCUUUAUUCUGGCAUUGUUCAUCUAAAUUCCCUAACGUAACACCCAUUUUUCUCGUCAAAUUUCAAAACUAUGGCAAAAGUUCUUCACGGAAUCCAGAUUUCGUUAGUCUAGGUCAAUUAGUUUAGAUAUUUUGAUAUGCUAAUGCUAAAACAGUUAAGAAUAAAACUUUGAGAUCUUAUUUAUAUCUUAAAAAUUUAUAUCAUUAUUGGUUUCACUUAUUUUUGUUUUAGAAAUAUAAGGAAUUUCUACACAUUUUGCACUGAUGUUUAUCAUUAAAAAUAUUUUUAAUAUGCAUAAUAAAAUUCAAAAUUACAGUUUAAAAAUUUUUAAAUGGCAGCUCUCUUCAAUUUGGAAACAAACAAAAAAAUAAGACUAUUGUAUGUAGGCAUGUAAAAUUUCACCUAAGUGUAGUUUUUCAAUUACUUUAAUAUUUUUUGUCACUAAAACGUUACAUUUAGAAAUGCGUUCACGAAUUUCGUAAUAUCGACAGCAUUUUAUUUGACAUUCAAAUACUCCUGAUUAUGUAUUUCUUGAAUCAAAU